rnacentral:rRNA from 1 species
AUUGAACGCUGGCAGCAGGCUUAACACAUGCAAGUCGAGCGGGGUGAUGGUGCUUGCACUAUCACUUAGCGGCGGACGGGUGAGUAAUGCAUAGGAAUCUGCCUAUUAGUGGGGGACAACAUCUCGAAAGGGAUGCUAAUACCGCAUACGUCCUACGGGAGAAAGCAGGGGAUCACUUGUGACCUUGCGCUAAUAGAUGAGCCUAAGUCGGAUUAGCUAGUUGGUGGGGUAAAGGCCUACCAAGGCGACGAUCUGUAGCGGGUCUGAGAGGAUGAUCCGCCACACUGGGACUGAGACACGGCCCAGACUCCUACGGGAGGCAGCAGUGGGGAAUAUUGGACAAUGGGGGGAACCCUGAUCCAGCCAUGCCGCGUGUGUGAAGAAGGCCUUAUGGUUGUAAAGCACUUUAAGCGAGGAGGAGGCUCUUUUGGUUAAUACCCAAGAUGAGUGGACGUUACUCGCAGAAUAAGCACCGGCUAACUCUGUGCCAGCAGCCGCCGUAA